rnacentral:rRNA from 1 species
ACGAACGCUGGCGGCGUGCCUAAUACAUGCAAGUAGAACGCUGAAGAGAGGAGCUUGCUCUUCUUGGAUGAGUUGCGAACGGGUGAGUAACGCGUAGGUAACCUGCCUUGUAGCGGGGGAUAACUAUUGGAAACGAUAGCUAAUACCGCAUAACAAUGGAUGACACAUGUCAUUUAUUUGAAAGGGGCAAUUGCUCCACUACAAGAUGGACCUGCGUUGUAUUAGCUAGUAGGUGAGGUAAUGGCUCACCUAGGCGACGAUACAUAGCCGACCUGAGAGGGUGAUCGGCCACACUGGGACUGAGACACGGCCCAGACUCCUACGGGAGGCAGCAGUAGGGAAUCUUCGGCAAUGGGGGCAACCCUGACCGAGCAACGCCGCGUGAGUGAAGAAGGUUUUCGGAUCGUAAAGCUCUGUUGUAAGUCAAGAACGGGUGUGAGAGUGGAAAGUUCACACUGUGACGGUAGCUUACCAGAAAGGGACGGCUAACUACGUGCCAGCAGCCGCGGUAAUACGUAGGUCCCGAGCGUUGUCCGGAUUUAUUGGGCGUAAAGCGAGCGCAGGCGGUUUGAUAAGUCUGAAGUUAAAGGCUGUGGCUCAACCAUAGUUCGCUUUGGAAACUGUCAAACUUGAGUGCAGAAGGGGAGAGUGGAAUUCCAUGUGUAGCGGUGAAAUGCGUAGAUAUAUGGAGGAACACCGGUGGCGAAAGCGGCUCUCUGGUCUGUAACUGACGCUGAGGCUCGAAAGCGUGGGGAGCGAACAGGAUUAGAUACCCUGGUAGUCCACGCCGUAAACGAUGAGUGCUAGGUGUUGGAUCCUUUCCGGGAUUCAGUGCCGCAGCUAACGCAUUAAGCACUCCGCCUGGGGAGUACGACCGCAAGGUUGAAACUCAAAAGGAAUUGACGGGGGCCCGCACAAGCGGUGGAGCAUGUGGUUUAAUUCGAAGCAACGCGAAGAACCUUACCAGGUCUUGACAUCCCGAUGCUAUUUCUAGAGAUAGAAAGUUACUUCGGUACAUCGGUGACAGGUGGUGCAUGGUUGUCGUCAGCUCGUGUCGUGAGAUGUUGGGUUAAGUCCCGCAACGAGCGCAACCCCUAUUGUUAGUUGCCAUCAUUCAGUUGGGCACUCUAGCGAGACUGCCGGUAAUAAACCGGAGGAAGGUGGGGAUGACGUCAAAUCAUCAUGCCCCUUAUGACCUGGGCUACACACGUGCUACAAUGGUUGGUACAACGAGUUGCGAGUCGGUGACGGCGAGCUAAUCUCUUAAAGCCAAUCUCAGUUCGGAUUGUAGGCUGCAACUCGCCUACAUGAAGUCGGAAUCGCUAGUAAUCGCGGAUCAGCACGCCGCGGUGAAUACGUUCCCGGGCCUUGUACACACCGCCCGUCACACCACGAGAGUUUGUAACACCCGAAGUCGGUGAGGUAACCUUUUGGAGCCAGCCGCCUAAGGUGGGAUAGAUGAUUGGGGUG